rnacentral:rRNA from 1 species
AGUGAACGCUGGCGGCAGGCCUAACACAUGCAAGUCGAACGGCAGCACAGUAAGAGCUUGCUCUUACGGGUGGCGAGUGGCGGACGGGUGAGGAAUACAUCGGAAUCUACUUUGUCGUGGGUGAUAACGUAGGAAAACUUACGCUAAUACAUCAUACGACCUACGGGUUAAAGCAGUGGAUCUUCGGAGCUUUCGCGAUUGAAUGAGCCGAUGUCGGAUUAGCUAGUUGGCGGGGUAAAGGCCCACCAAGGCGACGAUCCGUAGCUGGUCUGAGAGGAUGAUCAGCCACACUGGAACUGAGACACGGUCCAGACUCCUACGGGAGGCAGCAGUGGGGAAUAUUGGACAAUGGGCGCAAGCCUGAUCCAGCAAUACCGCGUGGGUGAAGAAGGCCUUCGGGUUGUAAAGCCCUUUUGUUGGGAAAGAAAAACAGUAGGUUAAUACCCCGCUGUUCUGACGGUACCCAAAGAAUAAGCACCGGCUAACUUCGUG